rnacentral:rRNA from 1 species
AGUGAACGCUGGCGGUAGGCCUAACACAUGCAAGUCGAACGACAGCACAGUAAGAUUUUUCCCUUACCGUUGGCGAGUGACGGACGGGUGACGAGUACAUCGCAUUCUUCUUUUUCUUGGGGAAUAACGUAGGAACACAUACGCUAAUACCUCAUACGACCUACGGGUGAAAGCAGCAGAUCUUCGCACCUUGCGUGACUGAAUGAGCCGAUGUCGGAUUAGCUAGUUGGCGGGGUAAAGGCCCACCAAGGCGACGAUCCGUAGCUGGUCUGAGAGGAUGAUCGGCCACACUGGAACUGAGACACGGUCCAGACUCCUACGGGAGGCAGCAGUGGGGAAUAUUGGACAAUGGGCGCAAGCCUGAUCCAGCAAUACCGCGUGAGUGAAGAAGGCCUUCGGGUCGUAAAGCCCUUUUAUUGGGGAAGAAAAGCUGCAGGUUAAUCCACCGCUGUCCUGACGGUACCCAAAGAAUAAGCACCGGCUAACUUCGUG